UGGUGCGCCCACAGCUGCGCAGAGAGCCCUGGGACCCCUGGCUCUAUUACUUUUUAUUGUUCCGCGUCUGUAGGUUGGUGUCUGACUCGUCCUGCGUGGUCCAGUGGGUAAUGGCACGUGCUCUGAGAAAGGCUGGCGUAGCUCUUAGUCAGUCCCACUAUUCCUUAAUGCCGCUUUUAAUCUUUAAAGCACCGUAUAAACAUCCGUGCCUGCAAUACACUAAUCCCUGUCUGAUAAAGGGACAAACCAGGAUACGGAUGUUCAGCACCAUCUUCUUGCGGCCAUCGUAAAGGAGCACAUCAGAGAUAAAGCUAGCAAGUGGGGUAUCUUGGCUGAGACCUAAGCUCAGACCACUCUGCUUUUUGUAUCGCAGUGGACAGGAGAUUUUAUUUUCAGAAAGGUGCUUCUGUUAUGUUUCUUCCUUUUAUUUUAAAGCAACACCGCUUGAAUUUUGGCAAAGAGUUUGCUUUGCAGGUGACACGUUUCCUUGCACCGGGCAGGAGCAGAGUGGGAUGUACCUGGGGCUGGAUGACUAAAUCUGUCCUCCUGCUUCUGAUGCACCCAGCGCUCCGUGUAACGCAAUGUGGAGACUGGCUUGCCCUUUUCAUUGAUACCAUUAACGCAGAGUAAGCAGCAAUGAUGCUUAGGCCAGGCCAGGUAUGUAACAUUUUUGUCUUUAAGCGAGUAGAGACACCUGUGACUGCAUUUUGUGUAUAGUUUAUUCAUAGUUAGCCUAAAUAGGAGGGAAAAAAGACAAUUGUAUAGCUGCAAACUACAGCGAAGUAAUGGGUGUCAUGAUUUUGAAGGAGCCAUCUUUGUUCUGACCCAAAACUAGGCACGUAAGGUCAGCAAACAUGUACACAACCACACAAAUACACACACACAGACGUUUAUAAAAUGUGCAGUUAGCACACUGAAUGUGUGUAAUCACGUGGUAAAAGAUGAACCCCAGGAGUUUGUGAGCUUGUUUUCUCUUCAGAGACAGCUUAGCUUUUCCUAGCACAUGUAAUAUCAGAGAUGUUCAAACAGUGGGUUUUACACUGGUGUGAAUUCUGCUGAUUUACACAAGAAACAUUGCACUGCUGUGGCUGCAGAUGCAGUCCCCAAAUCUGUCAGGCCUCUUUACUGCAGUUGUUUGUAUUGGUUGUGUUUCAGCGCUAACUUAGGUUAGACAUGCUGCAGCGUUAAUCUAGGAAAACGUGGAGGAGCUCCCGAAUUCACCUCAGUCCUGGUUCAAAUGUGUCAGGACUUGGGUGAUAAAAGGCUGGCGGCUGCUGAACAGCAAUGAUUCCUCACAAGCCUCAGAUCUGCAUGUUUUUGAGCAAAGAAGCCUCAGGCACAGGGUGAGGACUUCUGGGUGCACUCCAGCAGCGGGCUAGCAAAUCUUGGCCAAGAAUGGCCAGAGAGAGCUGGCCAUGGCUUAACAUCCUAUUUGUGUUUUGACUUGGUGGGUGCUGAUGGCAAGGUAUUUUACACGUUGCUAGCUCUUGCUCUGCAGCAUGUCUUCUUGUGUUUUCUUUGAAAAGCUGCAGGUCAAAUGAGUUGACAAAUGCUGGAGCUGUUUGUGCUGGGCAUUAAAAAUGUAUGUGCCAUAAAUAUCAGGGCAUUACUAGAGCUGCUGUUCUGGAGGAGGAAGUCACUGCAGGCUAUCUGCUCUAGCCCACAGGGAUAAUCUGACAUUUCUGCGCCACUUUAAACAAGUUCCGUCACAUCAGGUGAAGCGAUUCAUGAUAACCUCAUGCAUUUUAAUGGAAAUGUCAACUGCAAUCUAGUAAAAGAAAACGUUACUUAGAUACCUUGUCUAACACCUCAUUGCUUGCCCAUGCAUGGUGGUUCCUGAAGGAGAUUUCAGUAAACCCAUCAACUUAUCCGUAUCGUUCUUUCCAGGUUAAACCCAUCCUCCUGUCUGCUGAUAGGGAGGUGUACGGGCACUGAUUUCUCCUCAAUGGAGGGUAGGAGUUUAACCUUUGCUAGAGCAGGGAGCUCUGUCCUGCCAGAGGCUGGUGCUCCCACAUGCGAUAUAAAUUACAGUUUAGCCAAGGAGCAGCAUAGUUUUAGCAGAGAUAAUGGGAUCCGUGCCUUGCUGCAUGUGUUUUCCUGCAGGUCCGUGCAUAAAGCAGUAUAAUGCAGCAUAUAAUAACAGGUUUUAAUUCUUUGUAGGUCAUGUAUGAUCACUAAUUUAGCUGUGGUGACAGUGGCAAAGGCAACUGUGGGAGACAGUCUUGUAGCCUCGGCUACCUGCCAUGUGUUUUGGAGGCCCAGGUAAGUGGCAAAUCCUCAUGAGAUGGCGGAGUCUGCCACAUAAUACCUCACACACUUCUGUUUGAGCUAUCAGGUGCAUUUGAAAGGUCUCCGGCUCCCAGAAGAACACCCACAAAGAGAUAAUGCAACUCCGGAAAGUUUUAAGGACUCUACAGGCAAGUGUGCUGCCAUCCGUGUUCCUGGGCUUGAGUCAGUAGGUCACCCAGGCUCUCCAUGGAUAAUAUAAUCAGAGCACGGGAUAAAGACAUGGUGAGCAUGGACAAGGUCCAUUGGAAAUGCUUGAGUAGUUUCUUUCAUAAAUGGUAUAACAUCUGUUGUUGUCGGAGGCACAAGUUCCUGUCAAAGAGGCACGUCAUCCUUAUAAAUAUUAAUGCAGACUUGGCAGCAGUGCUCGUGUUCAUCAGCUGGGGCACAGAAGAACAGUUCAUGCCAGGCACAAUGCUAAUGAGUAGCAUUCAAAAGGGUCUUAUGUCCAUUCACAGAAGAGCCCCAAGACUGCGUUUGCCGCCUGUGAAGGCUCAGGUUCCCCUUUGACUGAGAGGAUGGGCCCUGCUUUCUGCCAUUUCAGAGCUUUGCUCUUGGAGGCUUUCUGGCACAGCUUUGCUAGACUUCUCAGGAUCUGGGAAGGAAUCAACUCGUCAGUCCCACGCCUCUGUGUUGUGUGCCUGGGAUCAAACCAUUCACCUGCAAGAUGCAAGCUCAAGCAGUUGGCCAACAGCAAACCCACAGUUGCCUGGUCUUGAGUGGAGCCCACUUCCUGUCUCUAACACCCGUAAUUAGAGACAAGCCCAGAAGGAGAAACAAGACUGAUUCCUUGAAGAGCUCAUCUGGAGGAUCAGGAAGGACAGAGUGGAUGGCUUCAGUACAAGCUCUGAGCUUUGCACCCUCUGGAGCUGGGUCAGACGGACGCAUGGAGGUUGUAGUCAUGCUCUGCUGCCUUUACUCAAUCAGCUGCUACUCAGGAGAUGACAAGAGGAAAAGCAAAGCAGAGGUAACCUGCCCUUUCCAGAGAUACGCAGCAGAUCGUAAGAUUGGACUACAUCCCCAGAUCAUGGGCCACUCGUGAGCCGUGUGUUUCUAUCAGCCACAUCCUGCAUCUUGUGGGAACUCUCUGGAGAUCACACCAAGCAGGAGACUGUCCUUUUUUAUAGGGAUGAGGAUGUCUUAUUUCUCUGGAGGAACCAAAGGGUGUAGGAAGUCCUGCUAGCUCUUGGGGCACAGUUGCUCGGUGGAAGGAAGACCAGAGCCCUGACGGGAUGAAAAGCAGCCAGGAGCCAUGAGAAGGAGCUGUGCCCUGGCUUCGCUCUGUCAAAAAGCAGAAGAGGCCAUGACACGUGACCUCCCCAAGGAGUCUUCCAGAAGAAUACCUGUGAUCAGCUGGAUGUUGUGUUGUGUUUCAAAGAUGAUGUUUCCUCCUGUCUCCCUGUUCCUGGUGGAUCCCACUGAGCUGGGGGAAAGGGGCUCAGCCCUUCCCCAAACCAGUGCCUGACUUUGAAGGUGGGGACAGGCAGAUCUCUGGAGUGCCCCCCUCCUCAGGAGCCAGGGAUCCCAUCAGGAGGAGGAGGAGGACGAAGAGGAGAGGCACAGAAACGCUCUGGAGAGUCUCAGGGAAGGUCCUUGCAGGUAUUUGCUGGAGUGGCUCGACAUAGAUUUAAGUGUCAAGCAACACGUCAAUGGCUCCCGUGCUAGCUCAGCCCCACAGCAGUUGAUACUGCAUCCAGCUGAACAGCCGCACUAAGCCCAUGCCAUUCACUGCAGCUGUUUUCUGCUCUACGAGCUAAUUAAUUAGUUUCUGCAAAGUCCUUUGAAGGGGUAAAGCGCAGCAUUAUCCAGAGGGUGUGGGCUUCAAAGCUUAAUGGGCGCUACUUGGAUAUGAACAGAGGUAGUAAACUUGGUUCAUAAUUUCUUUAAAACAUAAAAGAGCAGGGAAAGCAUCUGAAAAAAAACCCCCAUCAGUCAUUUUGGUAGUGCUGAGCCUGAGGAAGAGUCACUAAAAGCAGCUAGCUCCCCAGUGGAUGAGCAACUGACUUCCAGUUCCCCUUGCCUGGCUUUCUACCUCAACUUACUGGCAUAACCAGGAAAAACCUUUCUCCUUCAGUAAUUUUCUAUUUUAGAAGUGAUUCGGUAAAAGCGGGAGAAUAAAAGUGCUGAGAAAUAACAGAAGAAAAGCAGUCCUUUCAGAAAGAUCGGUGGGUAAAUUCAGGUCAGUAGAGAAAGUUCCUGCGGUACCUCUGCGGUAGCUCAGCCUCACUUCUCCCAAAUCCUCAUCAAAUUUUUACGUGGCAGCUAGCCCUUGCGUGGACAUGUGGAGCAAGUCCGGCUCACGGGGAUAAUGGUCAUUCAGGCAUGUUGGGUGAGCAGCGGAGCAAAACAUCGCCUACCGAGAGCACCCGCGUGGGCUGCUCGCCUGGGGGGCAAUUGCGUGGGCUCCUGGACCUCGGCUGUCUUCUGCCAUUGCAUACAGUGCAAGUGUUAAAAGGAUGAUAACUAAAGGCUCCUGCCAAUAUAUGGAAUAUCCUUUUAAAUUGUUUCACCAGUGUUCACAGCUUCAUGUCUUUCCUGCAUGAGUUGGGAUUUGAAGAUGUAUUUGCUUCCAGUUCUAUUGAAUUAAUUGAUGUAUUUGACUGUUCUUUUGCCUUUUUUUUUUUAAACUCAGGAAAUACAUUCUUCUAUUGUGCUGUUUUUCGGGGCGACUUCUGUUAUUUCCUUUCAUGUUUACCACGCUGAUGGAAAUCUGGUUUUGGCUUUAGUAGUAGAUUUUCACUAGAAUGAAUGCUGCGCUUUAUAGAUAACCUUCAAUUGUUCCACAGUAAUAAAAGAUUAUUAAAAGGACAUGGUUCUGCAGAAUGACGUACUGCUCUUCUUGCUGUCCAGGAAAGGAAUUUGCAACAGAUUUUUUUCCUAUGACUCUUCUGGCAAUUGUUUUUCUUUUCUGACAAUCUUUACGUGCUACCCUUAGUUCUUGUGAUUUGCAAUAAUAUUUUUAAAAUGUGUUUUAAUUCUGAAAUGGCACCUUGAAUUGAGGAUAAAUCAUAGCA